rnacentral:lncRNA from 1 species
AGAAUGACUGACCCAUGGGCUGGGUUCCUGAAGGAAAUAAUCAGUUAGUCAAUAAAGAUUAUUAGUAUUAAGUGCCUACUAUGGGAUAGGCACUGUGCUAGGCACCAGAGUUACAAAAAGAGGGAAAAGACUGUCUUUGCUAGCAAGGAGCUUACAAUCUAAAGAAGGAGACAACAAACAAAUAUAUACAAGUUCAGUAAAUUGGAGUUCCUCCUAGAACCUCUGGUCAAAGAAAUCUGCAUCCUUCUCCAGGCUGCACUGCUGAUUCCUUUCUACAGGACUUUUUCUACCAUGAUGGAACUAGGGCUCCCCACUUCACUAAGAAGUCACAGCAAUUUUGCUGAAUGGGCAGGAAAAAAGAUGUCACAGGUCAAUAUAGGCAUGGUGUUCCUGUAA